GGGUUGGUUUGCUGGCUGCUUACUUUUUCUGAAGUCCGAGUUAAACAAGAACUUCUGAGAGUUUGCAAAACUCUGUGCACACUCUCACUGGUUUCAAAAGGGAAACAGCAACUGUACUUCAGUGAGCAAGGCCAGAGAGGACAAUUUCAACACCUGUCCUUGUCACCUGUGUGUCCUGUCUUGGACCACACACAUCGAACUUCUGACCCCUACCCCAUCUCAAAGUCAAAGGUAGCCAUAACAAAUUCCUCUUUAAUCUGCCAUAGAAGGAACAGAUAUUAUUUCUGUUGUGGUCUGUGGCACUUUCUUUGCUUAGUAACCAUUUCCUGGACCAAGACUUUUCCAUAUGUGGGUAUAAGUGUUUGUUAGCAUUCUGGAAACAGGAGUGAUGGGCGUUUAUAAAGAACAAAGGUUACAGAGUGUUAGGAACUCAUGCUCAAUUGCCUACCGCUGAAAUGCUGAAAGGUCUGUGAAAUGUCUUAAAAUUAUUGUGUGUGUGUGUGUG
rnacentral:lncRNA from 1 species